rnacentral:rRNA from 1 species
UACGUAGGGUCCGAGCGUUGUCCGGAAUUAUUGGGCGUAAAGGGCUCGUAGGCGGUUUAUCGCGUCGGGAGUGAAAACACGGGGCUUAACCCCGUGCCUGCUUCCGAUACGGGCAGACUAGAGGUAUGCAGGGGAGAACGGAAUUCCUGGUGUAGCGGUGAAAUGCGCAGAUAUCAGGAGGAACACCGGUGGCGAAGGCGGUUCUCUGGGCAUUACCUGACGCUGAGGAGCGAAAGUGUGGGGAGCGAACAGG